AUUGAACGCUAGCGGGAUGCUUUACACAUGCAAGUCGAACGGCAGCGCGGACUUCGGUCUGGCGGCGAGUGGCGAACGGGUGAGUAAUGUAUCGGAACGUGCCCAGUAGCGGGGGAUAACUACGCGAAAGCGUAGCUAAUACCGCAUACGCCCUACGGGGGAAAGCAGGGGUUCGUAAGACCUUGCACUAUUGGAGCGGCCGAUAUCGGAUUAGCUAGUUGGUGAGGUAACGGCUCACCAAGGCGACGAUCCGUAGCUGGUUUGAGAGGACGACCAGCCACACUGGGACUGAGACACGGCCCAGACUCCUACGGGAGGCAGCAGUGGGGAAUUUUGGACAAUGGGGGCAACCCUGAUCCAGCCAUCCCGCGUGUGCGAUGAAGGCCUUCGGGUUGUAAAGCACUUUUGGCAGGAAAGAAACGUCGCGGGCUAAUACCCCGUGGAACUGACGGUACCUGCAGAAUAAGCGCCGGCUAACUACGUG
rnacentral:rRNA from 1 species